AUCAGAGAUAGUCAAAGAACCUUCAUAGGGAUCCUGUAAGUGACUAAUGUAAUUUUUAUUUUUGAUCGGACAUGACAAAUGAGAAUUGUGUCUUUCUCCACUCUAUUACCAGAACCUCAUUAGGACCUGCUGAACACUUGGGCAACUGAUUCAGCUGAGACAUUCUCCAGCAAAAUACAUUAGCAUUACAAAUGCCACUUGCUCUGAACCUAUCUGAAGGAGCAUUUUCUCUCAGAGGUUAAAUCUAAGCUUCAAGAGCAAUUUUGGAAAAUUUCAUGAUCGCACAACAUGAAAUCAUGGAAGAAUAAUGUUAUCUCAGACAAAAGACUAUGAAGAUUAUCAAGAUUUUGGCGAUUUGGAAGAUGUUCUUAUGCUGCGAGCUGCCCAAAGACAGGAUGGCUGCAUCUGAGGAUCUUGGCUUCUUGAUGACUGGAUUACUUAUUCGUUUAUUUAUUUAACUGUAAAGUCAUCUGAGGAAGAGAUUUAGAGGUGAUGGAGAGGAGCCGGGAAUUUGAGCUAGGAAUUUGUCUUAGUGAACUUUAAAAGCUAACUCUCCAAGGUUUCUGGUUUUGUGGGUAUGGACUUUCCUAUAGUGAUUAAAGUUUAAAACCAUUUUUAGAACUCUUGUCCAGUUACCCAGCCUUCACAGUUAAAAUAUAUUUCUCUCAUUGUUCUUACCUGAGACAUCUGGGGAAAUGAGAUGGAAAAAUGUACAUGCCAAUCACACUUGCAUUUCUCUUAAAAUAGGGAAGUUGAAAA
rnacentral:lncRNA from 1 species